rnacentral:rRNA from 1 species
GAUACCCGUGUAGUCCUAGCCGUAAACGAUACUCGCUAGGUGUCGGCCACGGUGCGACCGUUGUCGGUGCCGUAGGGAAGCCGUGAAGCGAGCCACCUGGGAAGUACCGGCCGCAAGGCUGAAACUUAAAGGAAUUGGCGGGGAGCACAACAACGGGUGGAGCUUGCGGUUUAAUUGGAUUCAACGCCGGAAAUCUUACCGGGACCGACAGCAACAUGAAGGCCAAGCUGAAGACUUUUGCCGGAUUUAGCUG